rnacentral:lncRNA from 1 species
GCGGACAUUAAUAGGAAUACUGUGUAAGUUACACUAAUAUACACAAAACAAAUUAGACAAAUGUAUGGAAAAUGCAUAAAUUACCUCCACACUUGUCUGAAAAAUUCAGUCCAUAACACUAUUUUCUUGUUUGAAGUUGAGCUAAUACUCCCUCAGUAAAAGAAAUGGUUAUAGAUUGAGCCAGUGUUAUUAAAAGCGCUCGCUUCUCGCUUUAAGCGAUGAAGCGAGGUGAGGCGCAGUGGUAGCGCUUUUCUAGUAAAAAGGCGACACACAUUAGAAAAACAAGCUCUUUUCUCGCUUAAGCGAGAAGCGACGAGUUAGAAAAGGCGAGAAAAAGCUCGCUUAAGCGAGCAGAAGGCGUCAGCUAGGGCUUUUUUAAAAAUUUUGGGCAAAUAAACAUACGAGCAGAAGGCAUUUGUUACCAAAACAUAUGAAGGUCUUCUUCUCCAGCCCAGCAAACUCCAGCGACGACUUCAUCUCCAGAUCUCGGUAAGUUUCUUCUUCUUCUUCUUCUUCUUCUUCUUCUUCUUCUUCUUCUUCUUCUUCUUCUUCUUCUUCUUCUUCUUCUUCUUCUUCUUCUUCUUCAUACUCUAUUUUCUGUCUUCUUCUGUUAUUCUUCUUCUCUUCUGUUAUUUUUUCAAUUUUUUCACUUUUUAAGCGCUCAUUUUUUGCCCUAAACGACUUCUUUUUCUUCUGUUAUUAAAAGUUUCUUCUGUUAUCAUGAUACGACUUCUUUUUCUUCUGUUAUGCUCUGUUUUUUGUUUUCUUCUGUGAAUUAAUUGUUUUUUUUGUUGUUGAUUAUAGUAAAUUUAAUUUGAUUAUUCAAUGGCAUCAAACCAAAAAAGAGAUCCAACUUGGGCAUAUGG